rnacentral:rRNA from 1 species
CCUACGGGGCGCAGCAGUGGGGAAUAUUGCACAAUGGGGGAAACCCUGAUGCAGCGACGCCGCGUGAGUGAAGUAGUAUUUCGGUAUGUAAAGCUCUAUCAGCAGGGAAGAUAAUGACGGUACCUGACUAAGAAGCCCCGGCUCACUACGGGCCAGCAGCCGCGGUAAUACGGAGGGGGCAAGCGUAAUCCGGAUUUACUGGGUGUAAAGGGCGCGUAGGUGGCAGGGCAAGUCAGAUGUGAAACCCCGGGGCUAAACCCCGGGAGUGCAUUUGAAACUGUCCAGCUGGAGUGCAGGAGAGGUAAGCGGAAUGCGUGGUGUAGCGGUGAAAUGCAUAGAUAUUAGGAGGAACACCAGUGGCGAAGGCGGCUUACUGGACUGUAACUGACACUGAGGCUCGAAAGCGUGGGGAGCAAACAGGAUUAGAUACCCGAGUAGUC